CACGUAGGGCGCAAGCGUUGUCCGGGAUUAUUGGGCGUAAAGAGCUCGUAGGGGGUCUGUUACGUCUGCUGUGAAAACCCAGGGCUUAACCCUGGGCUUGCAGUGGAUACGGGCAGACUAGAGGCAGGUAGGGGAGAAUGGAAUUCCCGGUGUAGCGGUGAAAUGCGCAGAUAUCGGGAGGAACACCGGUGGCGAAGGCGGUUCUCUGGGCCUGACCUGACGCUGAGGAGCGAAAGCGUGGGGAGCGAACAGG
rnacentral:rRNA from 1 species